UACGGGGGGGGCAAGCGUUGUUCGGAAUUACUGGGCGUAAAGGGCGCGUAGGCGGCUCGCUAAGUUGGAUGUGAAAACUCUGGGCUUAACCCAGAGCCUGCAUCCAAAACUGGCAAGCUUGAGUACUGGAGGGGAAAGCGGAAUUCCUGGUGUAGCGGUGAAAUGCGUAGAUAUGACAUAGAACACCCAUUGCGAAGGCAGCUCGCUACACUAUUAUUGACGCUGAGGCACGAAAGCGUGGGGAUCAAACAGG
rnacentral:rRNA from 1 species